rnacentral:rRNA from 1 species
GAUGAACGCUGGCGGCGUGCCUAACACAUGCAAGUCGAGCGAACAGACGAGGAGCUUGCUCCUCUGACGUUAGCGGCGGACGGGUGAGUAACACGUGGAUAACCUACUUAUAAGACUGGGAUAACUUCGGGAAACCGGAGCUAAUACCGGAUAAUAUAUUGAACCGCAUGGUUCAAUAGUGAAAGACGGUUUUGCUGUCACUUAUAGAUGGAUCCGCGCCGCAUUAGCUAGUUGGUAAGGUAACGGCUUACCAAGGCGACGAUGCGUAGCCGACCUGAGAGGGGGAUCGGCCACACUGGAACUGAGACACGGUCCAGACUCCUACGGGAGGCAGCAGUAGGGAAUCUUCGGCAAUGGGCGAAAGCCUGACGCAGCAACGCCGCGUGAGUGAUGAAGGUCUUCGGAGCGUAAAGCUCUGUUAUUGGGGAAGAACAGAUGUGGAAGUAAAUAUGCACGUCCUGACGGUACCUAAUCAGAAAGCAACGGCUAACUACGUG